GGGAUUUUAGAGUAGGGUCUUCUCGGCCCGACCUCCCACCCUUUGUUUAUCACACCCUUGUUGCUUCGGCGGGCCCGCCUUCACAGGCCGCCGGAGGACCGUCUCUCGGUCCUCUGGCCCGCGCCCGCCGGUAGCCAAACCUAUCAAACUCUUGCAUAAAAGCGUGUCUAUAAUGUCUGAAUACUAUAUUAAAUAAAAGCAAAACUUUCAACAACGGAUCUCUUGGUUCUGGCAUCGAUGAAGAACGCAGCGAAAUGCGAUAAGUAAUGCGAAUUGCAGAAUUCCAGUGAGUCAUCGAAUCUUUGAACGCACAUUGCGCCCUUUGGUAUUCCGAAGGGCAUGCCUGUUCGAGCGUCAUUAUCACCCCUCAAGCCUUCCGGCUUGGUGUUGGACGGUCUGGUCGAGCCCGCCUCGACCCCUCCCAAAGACAAUGACGGCGGCCUGGUUGGACCCCCGGUACAUGGAGCUUCUUUAUUGAGCACGUAUCGGUUUUCAAGGCGUCCCCGGGACCCGGUCUUCUCUCUCCCGUUCGCGGGAGGGAAACCCCCCUUUUUCUAAGGUUGACCUCGGAUCAGGUAGGAAUACCCGCUGAACUUAAGCAUAUCAAUAAGCGGAGG
rnacentral:rRNA from 1 species